AACACAUGCAAGUCGAGCGCGAAUGGAGCAAUCCUAGUAGAGCGGCGCACGGGUGCGUAACACGUGGGUAAUUUGCCUUUAAGCUUGGGAUAACCAUUCGAAAGAAUGGCUAAUACCAAAUAAGCUCCCAGGGGUCCUCGGACCUCGAGAGAAAAGGUGGCCUCUAUUUAUAAGCCAUCACUUUAAGAUAAGCCCGCGGCCCAUCAGUUAGUUGGUGAGGUAACGGCUCACCAAGACUACGACGGGUAGCUGGGUCUGAGAGGACGAUCAGCCACACUGGAACUGAGACACGGUCCAGACUCCUACGGGAGGCAGCAGUGGGGAAUUUUGCACAAUGGGCGAAAGCCUGAUGCAGCAACGCCGCGUGUGUGAUGAAGGUUUUCGGAUCGUAAAGCACUUUCGACUGGGACGAACCACCUCUCGGCUAAUAGUCAGGGGUCUGACGGUACCAGGAGUAAGAAGCACGGCUAACUCUGUGCCAGC
rnacentral:rRNA from 1 species